CUACGACAGCGGAGCCCCUGGGGAAGCCAAGAUGCCGUCGAAGGGAAAGGACAAAAAGAAAGGCAAGAGCAAAGGCAAAGACACGAAAUUGAAAAACUGAAACAGCAAUUAAAUGAAACAAAGGAAAAAGCCCAAGAGGAGAAGGAUAAAUUGGAACAAAAGUAUACCAGGCAAAUUAAUGAACUAGAGGGACAGUUCCAUCAAAAAGCCAAAGAAAUUGGCAUGAUUCACACAGAGCUGAAAGCAGUAAGACAAUUCCAGAAGAGAAAAAUCCAAGUGGAGAGAGAGUUAGAUGAUCUGAAAGAGAAUUUAAGAAACACAGAGCGGAUACAUCAGGAGACUCUUAGAAGACUGGAAAGCAGAUUUUUUGAAGAAAAGGUACAGAUUAUUAGGGUUAAUUUAAAAUGUUUUGUUUACUAGAACAUAAGUGUAUUUAUAUGCAUUCUGAAACAUCAGCCUUCCAUUUGGUAUCUUAAUAGAAGAUUAGAAGAUUGUUACCAAAUUAUAGCACAAUACAAUGAGGGAAAAUAAAACCUUCUAGAAAUCUCAA
rnacentral:lncRNA from 10 species